UUUGUUCUGGGGGACUGUCGGCAGAAGCCGAAUUUGGGAUGGAAAAGUUCUCUGAUGCCCAUGAAGAUCUCUCCAGGCAGUGAGACGCAGCUACAGUACGAAAUAAACAAGAUGCCCGUGGAAUUGAAAAGAAGGACGCUUUCCUGCUGUGCAUUCAAAUUGCUCUGUGCGUUCUGACAGGCCACUGUCUCCAGCACGUCUGGGAUAUUGGCCGUUGUGGAGAUGCUGUUUAUUUGUGUCCGUUCAGUCUCAGGAUAUCUUCAGAAACACGGAAUUGCCCCGCUUCGAACAGCCUCUAUUAUCCCCGGAAUCGCCGGACGACAGAACAGGCAAGAAAAAUGACCGGCGCGCUCUAGCUAUUCCCCGGAGAA